GAUGAACGCUGGCGGCGUGCCUAAUACAUGCAAGUCGAGCGAACAGAUGAGGAGCUUGCUCCUCUGACGUUAGCGGCGGACGGGUGAGUAACACGUGGAUAACCUACCUAUAAGACUGGGAUAACUUCGGGAAACCGGAGCUAAUACCGGAUAAUAUAUUGAACCGCAUGGUUCAAUAGUGAAAGACGGUUUUGCUGUCACUUAUCGAUGGAUCCGCGCCGCAUUAGCUAGUUGGUAAGGUAACGGCUUACCAAGGCAACGAUGCGUAGCCGACCUGAGAGGGUGAUCGGCCACACUGGAACUGAGACACGGUCCAGACUCCUACGGGAGGCAGCAGCAGGGAAUCUUCCGCAAUGGGCGAAAGCCUGACGGAGCAACGCCGCGUGAGUGAUGAAGGUCUUCGGAUCGUAAAACUCUGUUAUUAGGGAAGAACAAAUGUGUAAGUAACUAUGCACGGCGUGACGGUACCUAAUCAGAAAGCCACGGCUAACUACGUG
rnacentral:rRNA from 1 species